CCUACGGGUGGCAGCAGUGAGGAAUAUUGGUCAAUGGCCGAGAGGCUGAACCAGCCAAGUCGCGUGAGGGAAGACGGCCCUACGGGUUGUAAACCUCUUUUGUCGGGGAGCAAAGCGAGUCACGGGUGACUCUGUGAGAGUACCCGAAGAAAAAGCAUCGGCUAACUCCGUGCCAGCAGCCGCGGUAAUACGGAGGAUGCGAGCGUUAUCCGGAUUUAUUGGGUUUAAAGGGUGCGCAGGCGGGGGUGCAAGUCAGCGGUAAAAUUGCGGGGCUCAACCCCGUACUGCCGUUGAAACUGCAUCCCUAGAGUGCGAGAGAGGUAUGCGGAAGGCGAGGUGUAGCGGUGAAAUGCAUAGAUAUCACGCAGAACUCCGAUUGCGAAGGCAGCAUACCGGCGCGCAACUGACGCUCAUGCACGAAAGCGUGGGUAUCGAACAGGAUUAGAUACCCGGGUAGUC
rnacentral:rRNA from 1 species